UACGAAGGGGGCUAGCGUUGCUCGGAAUCACUGGGCGUAAAGCGCACGUAGGCGGAUCCUUAAGUCGGGGGUGAGAUCCUGGAGCUCAACUCCAGAACUGCCUUCGAUACUGAGGAUCUCGAGUCCGGGAGAGGUGAGUGGAACUGCGAGUGUAGAGGUGAAAUUCGUAGAUAUUCGCAAGGACACCAGUGGCGAAGGCGGCUCACUGGCCCGGUACUGACGCUGAGGAACGAAAGCUAGGGGAGCAAACAGG
rnacentral:rRNA from 1 species